rnacentral:rRNA from 1 species
CCCUUAGAUGUCCGGGGCCGCACGCGCGCUACACUGAAGGAAUCAGCGUGGCUCUGUCCCUGGUCCGAAAGGAUUGGGAAACCCGUUGAAUCUCCUUCGUGAUAGGGAUUGGGGCUUGGAACUGUUCCCCAUGAACGAGGAAUUCCCAGUAAGCGCAAGUCAUAAGCUUGCGUUGAUUACGUCCCUGCCCUUUGUACACACCGCCCGUCGCUACUACCGAUUGAACGUUUUAGUGAGGUAUUUGGACUGGACCUUCGGAGGUUCGCGCCUCCGUUGCUGUUCGGGAAGACUCCCAAACUUGAGCGUUUAGAGGAAGUAAAANUCGUANCA